rnacentral:rRNA from 1 species
UACGGAGGGUGCAAGCGUUGUUCGGAAUCAUUGGGCGUAAAGCGCGUGUAGGCGGCUUCGUAAGUCCGUUGUGAAAGUCCAGGGCUCAACCCUGGAAUGCCGAUGGAUACUGCGGAGCUAGAGUCCGGAAGAGGCGAGUGGAAUUCCUGGUGUAGCGGUGAAAUGCGCAGAUAUCAGGAGGAACACCAAUGGCGAAGGCAGCUCGCUGGGACGGUACUGACGCUGAGACGCGAAAGCGUGGGGAGCAAACAGG